rfam:Hordeum vulgare subsp. vulgare, WGS project CAJW01000000 data, contig: morex_contig_40515
UAUAUACUCCCUCCGUCCGGAAAUACUUGUCUUAAAAAUAGAUGUAUGUAGAGUUAUUUUAGUUAUAGAUACAUCCAUUUUAUUUAUUUCUAGGACAAGUAUUUUCGGACGGAUGGAGUAUAAA